GAAAAUGUAUGAUGGUACAAUUCGCACUAUCUAGGAGGUACGACACGUAAAAGGCUUGAAGAAAAAUCUAUUAUCUUUAGGACAAUUAGAUAGCAUUGGCUGCAAAACCCAUAACAAGAUGGGAUUAUGAAAAUAAUCAAAGGGGCGCUUGUGGUGAUGAAAGCGGAAAAGAUAGCUGCAAAUUUGUACAUGCUUAAAGGAGAAACACUACAAGAAGGAGAAGCAUCUGUCGCAUCGACAGGUUCAGCAGAAGAAUUAACGAUGAUGUGGCAUCGCAAGCUUGGUCACAUGUCUGAACGUGGUUUGAAAAUUCUCUCAGAACAAAAGCUUCUUCCAGGGCUCAAAAAGGUUUCAUUACCCUUUUGUGAGCAUUGUAUUACUAGUAAGCAGCACAGAUUGAAGUUCAGUAGUUCUACUGCUAGAAGUAAAACUAUCUUGGAACUGGUCCAUUCAGAUGUUUGGCAAGCACCGGUUAUGUCCCUAGGAGGUGCAAGAUACUUUGUAUCUUUUAUUGAUGAUUACUCCAGGAGAUGUUGGGUGUAUCCAAUCAAGAGGAAGGCAGACGUGUUUGCAGUCUUCAAAAUAUUCAAAGCGCGUGUGGAGCUUGAAUCUGAAAAGAAGAUCAAGUGUCUGAGGACUGACAAUGGAGGAGAAUAUACUGGUGAUGAAUUUGAUAACUUCUGUCAAUAAGAAGGUAUCAAGAGGCAGUUCACGGUGGCAUACACUCCACAGCAAAAUGGAGUGGCAGAGCGGAUGAACAGAACAUUGUUAGAAAGAACAAGAGCAAUGUUGAGAACUGCAAAUUUAGCCAAGUCAUUUUGGGCAGAAGCAGUCAAAACCGCCUGUUAUGUGAUCAAUCGGUCGCCAUCAACCGCAAUUGAUUUGAAGACGCCGAUGGAAAUGUGGACUAAUAAACCGGCUGAUUAUUCUCGCUUACAUAUAUUUGGAAGUCAUGUGUACGUUAUGUACAACACCCAAGAGACAUCAAAGCUGGAUCCAAAAUCCAGAAAAUGUAUUUUCUUAGGGUAUGCUGAUGGAGUCAAGGGGUAUCGACUGUGGGAUCCCACUGCCCACAAGGUGAUAAUCAGCAGAGAUGUCAUAUUUGCGGAAGGCAAAAUACAGGAAAAAGGAAAUGAUAGCACUUCAAAAGAAAAACCAGAGACUACUACAGUCGAAGUUGGAAACGAACGAGAAGAUAUAGAUUCUUCUGAAGCAACACUAGAGCACGAAGAACAAGCUGAAUCUAGUACUCCAGAUGUUCGACGAUCAACUCGGGAGAGAAGAGAACCGGCUUGGCACUCAGAAUACAUUAUGGAGGGCAAUGUUGCAUACUGCUUACUGACAGAAGAUGGAGAGCCAUCAACUUUCCAUGAGGCUAUAAAUAGCCAAGAAGUUUCUCUGUGGAUGGCUGCAAUGCAAGAAGAAAUUGAAGCUCUUCAUAAGAACAAGACAUGGAAUCUUGUUCCACUACCACAUGGAAGGAAGGCCAUUGGGAAUAAAUGGGUCUAUAAGAUAAAACGAGAUGGCAAUGACCAAGUGGAGCGGUAUCGUGCGAGACUGGUGGUGAAGGGGUAUGCUCAGAAAGAAGGUAUAGACUUCAAUGAAAUAUUUUCUCCUGUGGUUCGACUCACAACAAUUCGAGUAGUCUUGGGGAUGUGUGCUACAUUUGACCUACACCUAGAGCAGUUAGAUGUGAAAACUGCAUUUCUUCAUGGAGAACUUGAAGAAGAGAUUUAUAUGCUCCAACCAGAAGGUUUUGAAGAAAAAGGAAAAGAGAACUUGGUUUGCAGGUUGAACAAAUCUCUAUACGGUCUCAAACAGGCGCCGAGGUGUUGGUAUAAGAGAUUUGAUUCCUUCAUCAUGAGCCUUGGAUACAACAGACUUAGUUCAGAUCCGUGUGCAUACUACAUGAGAUUUGGUGAUAAUGAUUUCAUUAUUCUGUUGUUGUAUGUUGAUGACAUGUUGGUAGCAGGCCCCCACAAAGAUCGUAUUGAAAAUUUGAAGGCACAAUUGGCUAGGGAGUUUGAAAUGAAGGACUUGGGACCAGCAAACAAGAUUCUAGGGAUGCAAAUUUACCGAGAUAGAAAUAAUAGGAAGAUUUGG
rnacentral:lncRNA from 1 species